UGGGAAUCAAUAGGAUCUGACAGACUAAGUAUAACUCUGCAGUCACAAACAUGAGUUUAACUAACUUCAGAAAUAUUACUUAGACUGCCUGAAGAUGAAAAUUGGCCUUUUCCUCUACUGAGGGGAAAAAACCCUACUAUUUACUGCACUGUAGCCAUGUAGAGAUUUCACCUUCCUACCGAUGUGCUGCUCUCCUGAUAAGAAACUGUUUAAUCUCUCUGACCCAGGGAACACUGCCUUUCCCGAUUCUCCAAAAGAAGCAAAGACAUGCAAUACGCCUUCAUCUCGAACGUGUCCAGAGCCCUGAACGAAGCAGCGUGACAGGACGUGCAUCAAAGCUGCAACUAGGGUUGAGACUUAUCGGUACCGGAUGCGGCGUGGGGCUGCUGGAGGAGGGCAGAGAUGAGGAAGGAAGGACCAAGACCCUCACAGAGCAAAGGGAGGGUAGAAAACAGACGAUCGUUUCCCCCUCCCUAAUGAAGCAUCCCUCAGCAGGUAUUCCUAAAGUGUUUUGCUCCAACUCAUUGUGGCCACACCAAGCUGCCGACAGGGCCAACAUCUCACCACGAGCUCCCAUGAAAGGCAGCUUUAAGCACAACCAGCUUUGGCCCUGAAGACACAUACAGCUGUCAGAGCGGCUGUGUUUUUCAGGGAUGGGCGUGAGGCUGUGCAUGGGCCAGCUUUCCCGCUCUGGGAGGAGCUGCUUGCACCUCAACCAGGUAACAGGGACUGUGACCUGUAAAGGAAGUGCCUCUGCCCAAGACACUGUGGCAAAACAUUCUCCGAGUGUCUCUUCCUUCACUGAGCCGUGGCACGGUCAGUGUCUGGUGACCAGAACAUGAAUCCUGUUGUACUUGGCAUCUUUCUCAAAGCCUCAGCUACUGAAAGCACUUAAUUAUUUGAGAAUUUUAACCUUCCAUCAGAACAAAUAAAAUGCAAUGCAAUGCAGCUGUUUAGCUCUGAUGGCUUUCGAUAACAGUUU